AGCGAACGCUGGCGGUAUGCUUAACACAUGCAAGUCGAACGGCAGCACAGUAAGAGCUUGCCCUUACGGGUUGCGAGUGGCGGACGUGUCAGGAAUACAUCGGACUCUACCUUUUCGUGGGGGUUAACGUAGGUAUACCUACGCCAAUACCGCAUACGACCUACGGGUGUAAGCAGGGGAACUUCGGACCUUGCGCGUUUGAUUGAGCCGAUGUCGGAUUAGCUAGUUGGCUGGGUAAAGGCCCACCAAGGCGACGAUCCGUAGCUGGUCUGAGAGGAUGAUCAGCCACACUGGAACUGAGACACGGUCCUGACUCCUACGGGAGGCAGCAGUGGAGAAUAUUAGACAAUGGACGCAAGCCUGAUCCAGCCAUACCGCGUAGGUGAAGAGGGCUUUCGGGUUGUAAAACCCUUUUGUUGGGAAAGAAAAGCGGCAGGUUAAUACCCCGCUGUUCUGACGGUACCCAAAGAAUAAGCACCGGCUAACUUCGUG
rnacentral:rRNA from 1 species